UACAGAGGUCUCAAGCGUUGUUCGGAUUCAUUGGGCGUAAAGGGCGCGUAGGCGGUCGUGUGCGUCAGAGGUGAAAUCCCCGGGCUUAACCCGGGAGCUGCCUCUGAUACGGCAUGGCUUGAGUCCGGGAGAGGAGAGCAGAAUUCCCAGUGUAGCGGUGAAAUGCGUAGAUAUUGGGAGGAAUACCGGUGGCGAAGGCGGCUCUCUGGACCGGUACUGACGCUGAGGCGCGAAAGCGUGGGUAGCAAACAGG
rnacentral:rRNA from 1 species